rnacentral:misc_RNA from 1 species
AUGAAGAACGUAGCGAAAUGCGAUAAGUAAUGUGAAUUGCAGAAUUCAGUGAAUCAUCGAAUCUUUGAACGCACCUUGCGCCCUUUGGACUUCUGAAGGGCAUGCCUGUUUGAGUAUCAUGAACACCUCAACUCCUUAUGGUCUUCCAUGAUGAGCUUGGACUUUGGGGGUUUUGCUGGCCUACAGUCAGCUCCUCUAAAAUAAAUCAGCUUACCGGUGUUUGGUGGGUAUCAUGGGUGUGAUAACUAUCUACGCUCGUGGUUUUCCACCAGGUAACCUCCAGCAGUGGAGGUUCACUGGAGCUCAUAGAUGUCUCUCCUCAGCGAGGACAGCCCUUUGAAUGUUUGAUCUCAAAUCAGGUAGGACUACCCGCUGAACUUAAGCAUAUCAAUAAGCGGAGGA